rnacentral:lncRNA from 1 species
GAUUCCACUUGUUCACUAUAGGUAGUAAACAUACAGGUUUCAGAUUCUUCCAAGUUGCUUCUAACCACCGUAAUCAUUCUCAAACUGAAAUUCUUGUUUCUCUAGGCCAUGCUUGGAUUUCUGAAUAUGGCUGUUCAGAAAACGAGCAACAGUUCAAUUGGCUGAUCAAGUAAGACAUGAUAUUACUUAAUAAAAAAAACGAAAAUACAAUGGUGUUCAAUUUAUCACACAUUACCUGCGAGUUCGUUCUGUGACAAUUUGAUCAGGUACUCUCCACUACACAAUGUGAGGAGACCUUGGGAAAUGAACACUGAUGAGGCAAUUCAGUACCCUCCCACCAUGUUGCUGACUGCCGAUCACGACGAUCGAGUUGUUCCAUUACACUCUCUGAAGUUGUUGGCGGUGACUGAUAGACUUUUCCCUCCAAUUCUCUCGACUGGAGACAUAACCGUAUCAUGGUUUCUUGACUUUUCUUAUUUUAUGCAGACGUUGCAGAGUGUUCUGAUCACCAGCUUGGAGAAGAGUCCCCAAACCAACCCAAUAAUGGGCCGGAUUGAUCAGAAAUCAGGCCACGGGUAUGGCCGUCCCACUCAGAAAGAGGUAAGCUUUUUUACACUUAUUGAAUUGAUUUCUUCUCUACUUAUCUGUGGGCUAUUAAUUCAACUGUGUGUUUGACAGAUUGAUAUAGCUGCCGACUGUUAUGGGUUCAUGGCGAAGAUGAUGAAUUUGGAGUGGACUGACUAGGAAACACAAAACAGCAUCCAGUUGAAUCCAUUAGUACUGUUGUACAAUGGUUUAUAGUAUGAGGAUAUGAUAAUAAGAAGCUGUUACAAGGUCUUGUAAGAUGGAAUAAACAGUGUAAUUCUGCAAUUUGUUCUAAUCAUGUGUAAUUUGUGUACGAGGAAAUUAAAAAAAUGAGACUUUGCUGAAAAUCACAACCUGAAAUCAAAAUCGAGCUUCUGUACCGAAGAAUUCGGAUUUGCUGGAUCCGGAUUACCUUUUCGGAGUCUAUAUAUAAAUCUUCCGAUUAGGGUUUCUUUCUUUGUAUUAUUAUAAAGCAUAACCUAAAUGGAGAUGUUACCGGAUGAGCUACUCACAGAGAUAUUAGGGUGGAUGCCGCUGGAGGAAGCCGCAAUAACCAGCCUUGUUUCGAAGCGAUACGCCUGGAGAAACCCACCAAAUCCUUACUUCGACGGUAACAAGAUAACCAAAUUCAGGAACGAUGACUAUCUGGUCUCAUACUUCCAAACCCUCCAGGAUUUCUACACGUAGAUGGACGAGAUGAUCCGCCAGCUGGAACAGAAGAACAAGGAGACUGAUUUCUGGAUUGAAUCAUUAGGUCUCAAUUUCAAGCCAGAUGAGGAAUAUGAAGAGGAAGAUGAAGAAGACAAUUAUGGAUGGAUUGAAUUUAGGAAUUCAGACGACUCUCUAAUAAUCGGCGGAUUCAGAAUUGUGCGUCUCUUGUCUUUGUCGACAGAUCCUGGAAUCAAUCUGAGCGCCGUGCUAUCUCGGCGUCGGCGGCCGUAUCUGCUGAAAAACCUGACAUUUGCCAACUGUGAUAUGGAAAUCCUGAAGAGUGAACUACUAAUAGGCAACAAACAGCAUGCCAAACCACAAGAAAUCAAAUCACCAAAUGUAGUUACAAUUGAAUGGUACUUAUUUUUGCAGUACUAAGUAGGAACUUGUACUGUUGACGCCUCUCUCCAAAGCAUGCAUGACAUCUCCAUUCUUCAGUCAAUCAUCGGGCGAAGCUUUUUCUUUAUAGCCGUAAGUUUGUAUAAAACUUCAUUCAUACUAACCCUCUCUUUUGGGAUGUCUAGAACAAAUAAUGUCAAUGUUAAGAAUGGAACUCAUUAACUCCUCUAGUUUCUUUCUCGCUUUUUCCGAGCGGUUACUUGCUUGUCAGCCUACGAAGUCGUUCGUUUAGUAGAACCGGAUUCACAACUUGAAAUGUUUGUUGUUCCGACAAAGCGCUUAUGACAACGUUAUGAAAGUUUAAACUGUCUUUGAAAGUCUCAUCAACUGGCCUCUUCUCGAUAAAUAAUUCAAGUAGAAGUAUACCGUAACUGUAGACGUCACCUUGUAUUGAGACUUCGUUUCCCAUUUCAUAUUCUGUAAAAGGAGACAAUUAUUUAAAAAUAAAAGUAGCAAUCGGAAGGUAAAGAAUAAUCAAAGUAUGCCUGAAUAAAUUUUUUAUCUGGUGGUGCGUAGCCAACUUUUCCUUUUAUAUCAAUUGUACUUGAAGAGGGACUUUCAAUUGUUGAAAGGAAUUUUUCCAAUCCAAAAUCACCAAUAUGAGUCACUCUAUCCUCGUCAAGAAGUACAUUACUAGAUUUGAGAUCACAAUGAAUAACUGGAGUUCCGCAGUUGUUAUAAAGAUGAUUCACAGCGGAAGCUAUAUCAAUAGCAACAUUUAUCCUCUCGAUGAAUUUCAAGCUCCUUGUUGCAGACUCGUCUAUUCUUCCAAUUGGAUGAUGGAUACAGUCUAAAGCUUCCAUAAGCCAAUAAUUCAUAAAUAAGAGCCUUGAAAUAAUUCCCUUCAUGAUCAAUGCUUGAAUAUACUGUCGCUAUCCUCAUAAGAUUCUUGUGUCGAAUGUUCUUCAACACUUUAUAUUAAUCCAUAAAACUUGUAGAAGCUCCGUGACGCUGAAGGUUGAAUACUUUCACAUCAAUGUUGAUACGACAUUCAAAUAUCUCAUCAAGGACACCUUUAUACACUAUGCUAAAGAUACCUAUACCAAUCUGAAUUGUUGAGGAGAAACCAUUUGUAGCUUUAUAAAGCCUUUGAUAAGACAAUUAUAGUAAUUUUGGAUCAUUCAUUGAAACUAUAUCUUGUCUUCUUAUUUUCUUAACCAACGAGAUAAAAAAGACAUAAGCAGUGAAGGCGAGAAACAGUAGACUUGAAACUGUUCAUAUAAUAAUCUUCCACUUGAGACUCAAUGGCUUCUUUGAGUGUAGAGUGAAGUUACAUGGUGGGAAUUUAAGUGCAACAAUUCCCCCUGCAAAACUGUCCAUUUCCAAUGAUUGAAAUAAUGCUACUUCAAGACUCUUUGUGUUGGCACUUCACCUUCAAAAUUGUUAUGCGAGAGAUUCAAAAGGCUCAAUAUAUUUAUAAGCUCCAAAAAUUUUGGAAUUUGACCAGAUAAAUUAUUUAAAGAAAGAUUCAAUUUUUGAAUACUUCUUAAUAAGCUCAAAAAAGAAGGAAUGAUACCUCGUAGGUGAUUCCCUUGCAAGUAUAAAAUUUCUAGGCUCAUACAAUUGCCCAAACCAUUUUGGAUGUUGCGUGACAACAUAUUAUGUGCUAGACUCAAAAUACCCAAAAUUUUCAAGUUCUCCACCUCUAUAGGAAGGGCACAUGUGAAUCGGCUGUUAGAUAAGUCUAGAGCAAUUGACAAGGAAGUAAGGCUCACCAUUUGUGGUGGGAUGACGCCUCUGAGAUUGUUGCUAGACAGGUUCAAAAGUAAUAAUUUUUUAUAAUUGAGAAGAGAAGGAGAAAUUUCACCAUAAAAAUAGUUAUUGCUAAUAUCUAGUUCAAGCAAUUCUGGGUUUGCUAAUAUUUAGUUCAAGCAAUUUUAGUUGUACUAUGAAUAAUGCUUGAGUGGCGGGUAUAAAAGAAAGAGUCUUAUGCUUAUUAUGGAGCAGCACCUAUGAUUCCACGGUAACUUCUGCAGAUCAGUCGAGUCUUAGGUCCAGUCCCGCCCAUCGUGAAACCAAACCUCGGAAUCGGUCCCAAAGGGAAAGAAUUGUUCUUAUUCGGACAGAUUGCCGAACUUUCAAACAUGUUUAAGCCGGAGUUCAAGUUCAGGCAACGGAUCCUCGACAGAAAUUUUACGGAGAAGCAUUUCGUGGGAGGAAAAGCAAAAGGGAAAACUGGAAAAACAAAACGUGCAACUCAAGGGCAAGAUGAUCGUCAGAGGGAAAGAGAAAAAGAUAAAAACCAAGUUAAAUUGGGAGGACAGGGAAGGAGGCGAUCGUGCAAAGAAGGCAAGGGGCAGCUGCUACAAAAGGGGAAGUGACAUGGAAGAUUGAAGAACUAAAAGUUAGAAGAGAAAUAGAAAAAAUAAAACUGCUGCCUUUAACCAAAUCAAAUAGGCUUGGAAUCCAACCAAACACAUCAAAAGCAGACUUGAAAUCCAACCAAUAAAAACCCCUUAAUGAAUAGUAUAUUAUGACUGGGCUUUAUUUAGUUUUAAUUUUAAUUAAUAAUAAUAGCCUAAUAGGUGUGCAUGGCAUGGGUUACUUUGCAUGGGUUGUAAAUUUUACAUAUUUUCAAUUCCACGUGCAAUCCCUUUUUUAAAAAACAAAUCGCAUUUUAUUCCUUUCGAAUUAAGUCAUUACAAUGGAAGAAAUUUACUUCAAAUUCUGAGUACAAUUAGGAGGAAGCGUACUAGACGGGCAAGAUUUUGCAACCUAAUCCGCCAGGUGGUCGAGUCUCUUAGGGACAAAAGAAAAAAUAAUACUAGAGCCGGAUUGAAAGAUAAUAUCUCUAAUUAUUCGGAAAAUUUACGAGUAGCAUUAACAAAGCCACGAAAUGAGUCGACCACAUAUAACUUGAAUCAUCAUCAAACAGUCUAAUUUGAUGAUGGGGCGAAAACUAGAAUCUAUGGCAAAUUCCACAACCAAAAGAAAUUUCUUUCGCUUCAACCAGGAUUGAAGAUCAACACUGAAAACGGUAUGCAAUACCAUCCCCGCCUUCCCACGAGAGUUUUAAUAUAAUGAUGACCUCAUAAGCCCCCAAAUCAUUUACUAUCAUUAAUCUUUUAUGAGGAUUUGGAACUCUAUAUAUUUGACCAAUAGGGCUCAUCCAAUUUUAAUUAAGCUGCUUUUUUUAUCGAUUAGGUUUUAAUAUAUGUAGACACGUUUUAAUAUGAAAUAAAUCAAUAAUGAAUUUAGAUGAUCUACAAUAGAAAUUACGAAAAAUAAAUAAUUGCGUAGCCUCCGCAGCGUGGUGCAACCAUGAAGCCCAUAAUGUGGGUUGUGCCGUGCAAUGUAGAGUUUGAAAAAUCCAGCCUUCGUUAAACCACUGAUGGAGUUAGCUUGGUCUGAAGAGUCAGGUGCCACCGUCUGGGUUGCGUAAUUGAAUUAUGUAUUCGGGAUUUUCCACUGUUCUUCUUUUUACCUUUCAGAAGAAAACUACACCAGGAUUGACGUCUACAAUAGUUUGGUUGAGUGGUGGGUUAAAGGACAAAUAAAAUCAUGGUAAAUUGUCAUCAUUCUAACUAGGUAUCCAGUUGUAAGAACGUUCAAAACUCGAAUACGAAUCAAUUAUAAACAACACUUUCUAACAAACUAACACAAGUAGACAAGUUAAAUUGUCUAGUGUUUGGGAUAAGUCAUCACUGACUAACCUUUGUUCCUUUUUAACCGCCAAUUAGUUCCACUUCACUAGCUACCCCACUCUUCCUUGUAUAUAAUCCAUCUUCACUAAUCAUUCAUUUGUAACCAAAUCAUCAACUAGAUAUCAUAAACUCCACAGCUCCUCAAUCUCAUCCAUCCAGAAUGGGGUCGGUAGCAUUAUGUUAUCCAGCAGCUCGCAAGGAUGAGUCUACCGUCGAGUAUUACCAUGGCGUCAGGUUGCUGACCCCUUUAGAUGGUAACCAAACCAGCAUAUGGAUGCAUAUGGUUUUCUUUGUUAGUUUUUUUUUUCAAAAAUUACAUGGAGUAUUGAGCAUUUGUGAAAUGGCAGGCUGGAGAAUCCAGAAUCGAAGGAAACGAAAGAGUACGUGGAAGAGCAAGUGAAGCUGAGUGAUACAGUGUUGAAGACUUGCGAGACGAAAGAUAAGCUCAAGGAGAAGAUAACAAAGAUGAUGGACUAUCCUCGCUACCUUGAUGCGCCGUUGAAAAGAGGGGACAAGUACUUCUAUUCAUACAACACCAGCGUUCAGCCCCAGGGCGUUCUUUACGUACAGGAUGGGUUGGAAGGAAAGGGAGAGGUGUUGUUGGAUCCGAAUGCACUAAGCGAUGACGGGACAGUGGCAAUGCCCAUUUAUUCGGUAAGCGAUGAUGGCAAAUACCUGGCGUACGAGCUCAGCUCCAGUGGCAGCGAUUGGGUCACCAUCAACCUCCUCUCUGUUGACGACAAGACACUGCUCCAGGCUGACACUCUUUCAUGGGUAUAUAUGCAUUCUCUUCUAUUCUACCUGUAAUUUCAAAACAAGGAUAUAGCUUUUAAUUAAUUUUGGCGAGCGUUGACAGGCAAAGUGGACCGAAAUCAGUUGGACACAUGAUAGCAAAGGCUUCUUCUAUUGCCGCUACCCUGCUCCCAAGUACGGGUUAUGGGCAGCUGCUACAAAAGGGGAAGUGACAUGGAAGAUUGAAGAACUAAAAGUUAGAAGAGAAAUAGAAAAAAUAAAACUGCUGCCUUUAACCAAAUCAAAUAGGCUUGGAAUCCAACCAAACACAUCAAAAGCAGACUUGAAAUCCAACCAAUAAAAACCCCUUAAUGAAUAGUAUAUUAUGACUGGGCUUUAUUUAGUUUUAAUUUUAAUUAAUAAUAAUANNNNNNNNNNNNNNNNNNNNNNNNNNNNNNNNNNNNNNNNNNNNNNNNNNNNNNNNNNNCUAGGGGACUAGAAAGCUUCAGGGAAGAAGGGAACAGUUUGCUCCCCUUCUCUAAGCUCGUCGACACUUUCGAGGCCUACUAUGCCGCCGUUGCAAACGAUGGCACAUUAUUUACUUUCCUGACCAACAAAGACGCUCCUUUGUAUAAACUAGUUCGGGUUGAUUUGAACAAACCCGGCUCAUGGACCGAUGUUGUUCCACAAUCCGACAAGGAUGUAUUGGAAAAUGCAUAUGCGGUUAAUGGAGAUCGAUUGAUAGUUCAUUACCUCAGCGACGUUAAGAGUGUGUUGCAGAUCAGAGACUUGCAGACAGGAUCGUAUCUGCAGCAGCUUCCCAUUGAAGUUGGCGCAGUGACUCUGGUAUCUGCAAGGAGGAAGGACAGUUCAGCAUUUAUUGCCUUUGCAGGCUUUCUUUUCCCUGGCAUCAUCUACCAAUGCGAUUUCGAAUCUGGCACUCCAGAAUUGAAGAUAUAUAGGGAGAUGAGUGUACCUGGAUUCGAUAUUUCAGAGUUCCAAGUGAAUCAGGUAUGCUCUUCUUUUGCAGCUGGAUAUUUGAUUUUGAUUCCAAAUGAUGAUUCUUUUCCAUGGUUGAAGGUGUUUGUAACUAGUAAGGACAGGACCAAGUUCCCGAUGUUCAUAGGGUCUAAGAAAGACAUAAAAUUGGACGGAUCACACCCAUGUUUGUUGUAUGCAUAUGGCGGAUUUGGGAUCAAUAUUACUCCAGAUUUCAAAGCAGCUCGGAUAGCACUAGCGAAGCAUUUAGGAACAGUGUUCUGCAUUGCCAACAUACGUGGUGGUGGAGAGUACGGUGAAAAAUGGCACAAAGCAGGAUCACUUGCCAACAAGCAGAACGUCUUUGACGACUUUAUCUCUGCCGCUGAAUACCUCGUGUCAACUGGUUACACCAACCAGAAGAAGCUUUGCAUCGAAGGUCUGAGCAAUGGCGGCCUCCUCGUAGGUGCUUGCAUAAAUCAGAGACCAGAUCUAUUCGGAUGCGCUCUGGCUCAUGUUGGUGUUAUGGACAUGCUCCGAUUCCACUUGUUCACUAUAGGUAAACAUAUAGGUUUCAGAUUCAUCCAAGUUGCUUCUAACCACCGUAAUCAUUCUCAAACUGAAAUUCUUGUUUCUCUAGGCCAUGCUUGGAUUUCUGAAUAUGGCUGUUCAGAAAACGACCAACAGUUCAAUUGGCUGAUCAAGUAAGACAUGAUAUUACUUAAUAAAAAAAACGAAAAAAGAAUGAUGAUCAGUUUAUCAUACAUUACCUGAGAGUUUGCUCUGUGACAAUUUGAUCAGGUACUCUCCACUGCACAAUGUGAGGAGACCUUGGGAAAUGAACACUGAUGAGGCAAUUCAGUACCCUCCCACCAUGUUGCUUACUGCCGAUCACGACGAUCGAGUUGUUCCAUUACACUCUCUGAAGUUGUUGGCGGUGACUGAUCGACUUUUCCCUCCAAUUCUCUCGACUGGAGACAUAACUGUAUCAUGGUUUCUUGACUUUUCUUAUUUUAUGCAGACGUUGCAGAGUGUUCUGAUCACCAGCUUGGAGAAGAGUCCCCAAACCAACCCAAUAAUUGGCCGGAUUGAUCAGAAAUCAGGCCACGGGUAUGGCCGUCCCACUCAGAAAGAGGUAAGCUUUUUUACACUUAUUGAAUUGAUUUCUUCUCUACUUAUCUGUGGGCUAUUAAUUCAACUGUGUGUUUGACAGAUUGAUAUAGCUGCCGACUGUUAUGGGUUCAUGGCGAAGAUGAUGAAUUUGGAGUGGACUGACUAGGAAACAUAAAAUCGCAUCCAGUUGAAUUCAUUAGUACUGUUGUACAAUGGUUUCUAGUAUAAGGAUAUGAUAAUAAGCAGCUGUUACAAGGUCUUGUAAGAUGGAAUAAACAGUGCAAUUCUACAAUUUGUUCUAAUCAUGUGUAAUUUGUGUACGAUGAAAUUAAAAAAUAUUGAGACUUUGAUGAAAAUCACAACCUGUGUUGUAGAAGUAAUUUCAAAAUCGAGCUUCUGUACCGAAGAAUUCGGAUUUGCUGGAUUCGGAUUACCUUUUCGGAGCCUAUAUAUAAAUCUUCCGAUUAGGGUUUCUUUCUUUGUAUUAUUGUAAAGCCUAAACCUAAAUGGAGAGGUUACCGGAUGAGCUACUCACAGAGAUAUUACGGUGGAUGCCACUGGAGGAAGCCGCAACAACAAGCCUUGUUUCGAAGCGAUGGCGAUACGCCUGGAGAAACCCACCAAAUCCUCAAUUCGACGACAACAAGAUAACUA